rnacentral:rRNA from 1 species
UACGGGGGGGGCAAGCGUUGUUCGGAAUUACUGGGCGUAAAGGGCGCGUAGGCGGCCGUCUAAGUCGAACGUGAAAUCCCCGGGCUCAACCCGGGAACUGCGUCCGAGACUGGAAGGCUCGAAUCCGGGAGAGGGAUGUGGAAUUCCAGGUGUAGCGGUGAAAUGCGUAGAUAUCUGGAGGAACAUCGGUGGCGAAGGCGGCAUCCUGGACCGGUAUUGACGCUGAGGCGCGAAAGCCAGGGGAGCAAACGGG